rnacentral:rRNA from 1 species
UACGUAGGGGGCAAGCGUUGUCCGGAUUUAUUGGGCGUAAAGAGCGUGUAGGCGGCCAGACAAGUCUGCUGUGAAAACUCGAGGCUCAACCUCGAGAGGUCGGUGGAAACCGUCUGGCUAGAGUCCGGAAGAGGAGAGUGGAAUUCCCGGUGUAGCGGUGAAAUGCGCAGAUAUCGGGAAGAACACCCGUGGCGAAGGCGGCUCUCUGGGACGGUACUGACGCUGAGACGCGAAAGCGUGGGGAGCGAACAGG